UACGGAGGGUGCAAGCGUUAUCCGGAUUCACUGGGUUUAAAGGGUGCGUAGGCGGGCAGGUAAGUCCGUGGUGAAAUCUCUGAGCUUAACUCAGAAACUGCCAUGGAUACUAUUUGUCUUGAAUAUUGUGGAGGUAAGCGGAAUAUGUCAUGUAGCGGUGAAAUGCUUAGAUAUGACAUAGAACACCAAUGGCGAAGGCAGCUUACUAGACAGUUAUUGACGCUGAGGCACGAAAGCGUGGGGAUCAAACAGG
rnacentral:rRNA from 1 species